rnacentral:lncRNA from 1 species
AAGCAAUGUUAGCAGUGCAUGUCUGCCUGGUAUGGUUCAUCUGACCUUGACCUCAUUUUCAAGGUUCAUUGGUCUUUGUUUAGUUAUCUUUGGUUAAUGUCAAGUUUAUGUGACAGUGGUAAUAAAGCUUAGCUUUAUACUUAGGACUAUCAACAUAAUAUCAAUGAUUAGUAUAGAAGGCGAGACAUUUCAGCGUAUGCACUCUUGUCUAUAUAUUUACAUAAGCACGCACAC